rnacentral:rRNA from 1 species
AUGAACGCUGGCGGCGUGCCUAACACAUGCAAGUCGAACGGACUUUUCAUGAAGCCUAGCGAUUGAAAAGUUAGUGGCGGACGGGUGAGUAACGCGUGGGUAACCUGCCUUGUACUGGGGGACAACAGUUGGAAACGACUGCUAAUACCGCAUAAGCGCACAGCUUCGCAUGAAGCAGUGUGAAAAACUCCGGUGGUACAAGAUGGACCCGCGUCUGAUUAGCUGGUUGGUGAGGUAACGGCCCACCAAGGCAACGAUCAGUAGCCGGCCUGAGAGGGUGAACGGCCACAUUGGGACUGAGACACGGCCCAAACUCCUACGGGAGGCAGCAGUGGGGAAUAUUGCACAAUGGGGGAAACCCUGAUGCAGCAACGCCGCGUGAGUGAAGAAGUAUUUCGGUAUGUAAAGCUCUAUCAGCAGGAAAGAAAAUGACGGUACCUGACUAAGAAGCCCCGGCUAACUACGUGCCAGCAGCCGCGGUAAUACGUAGGGGGCAAGCGUUAUCCGGAUUUACUGGGUGUAAAGGGAGCGUAGACGGUUUUGCAAGUCUGAAGUGAAAGCCCGGGGCUUAACCCCGGGACUGCUUUGGAAACUGUAGAACUAGAGUGCAGGAGAGGUAAGUGGAAUUCCUAGUGUAGCGGUGAAAUGCGUAGAUAUUAGGAGGAACACCAGUGGCGAAGGCGGCUUACUGGACUGUAACUGACGUUGAGGCUCGAAAGCGUGGGGAGCAAACAGGAUUAGAUACCCUGGUAGUCCACGCCGUAAACGAUGAUUACUAGGUGUUGGUGGGUAUGACCCAUCGGUGCCGCAGCAAACGCAAUAAGUAAUCCACCUGGGGAGUACGUUCGCAAGAAUGAAACUCAAAGGAAUUGACGGGGGCCCGCACAAGCGGAGGAACAUGUGGUUUAAUUCGAUGAUACGCGAGGAACCUUACCCGGGCUUAAAUUGCAACAGAAUAUAUUGGAAACAGUAUAGCCGUAAGGCUGUUGUGAAGGUGCUGCAUGGUUGUCGUCAGCUCGUGUCGUGAGAUGUUGGGUUAAGUCCCGCAACGAGCGCAACCCUUAUCUUUAGUAGCCAGCAGUAAGAUGGGCACUCUAGAGAGACUGCCGGGGAUAACCCGGAGGAAGGUGGGGAUGACGUCAAAUCAUCAUGCCCCUUAUGACCAGGGCUACACACGUGCUACAAUGGCGUAAACAAAGAGAAGCGAAGUCGUGAGGCAGAGCGAAUCUCAAAAAUAACGUCUCAGUUCGGAUUGUAGUCUGCAACUCGACUACAUGAAGCUGGAAUCGCUAGUAAUCGCAGAUCAGAAUGCUGCGGUGAAUACGUUCCCGGGUCUUGUACACACCGCCCGUCACACCAUGGGAGUCGUAAAUGCCCGAAGUCGGUGACCUAACCGCAAGGAAGGAGCCGCCGAAGGCAGGUCUGAUAACUGGGGUG